rnacentral:rRNA from 1 species
UACGGAGGAUCCGAGCGUUAUCCGGAUUUAUUGGGUUUAAAGGGUGCGCAGGCGGGAGAUUAAGUCGGCGGUGAAAUUUUGCAGCUCAACUGUAAAAGUGCCUUCGAUACUGGUUUCCUUGAGUGUGGAUGAAGUAGGCGGAAUUUGUGGUGUAGCGGUGAAAUGCUUAGAUAUCACGAGGAACUCCGAUUGCGCAGGCAGCUUACUAAACCACUACUGACGCUCAGGCACGAAGGCGUGGGGAUCAAACAGGAUUAGAUACCCGCGUA